rnacentral:ribozyme from 1 species
CUGAUGUGGAUUGCUUGCUUGGCGCCAUUCGCCUGAUCGACCGCUACCACCUGGAGACAGG